AAAAAAAAAAAAAAAAAAGCUAAAAUAAAAAGCCAGUUCUUGAACUGGAGAUUGCACGUCCGUCAAAAAUUUUUCUACAAAACUGCAACACAUCUCUCAUUUCAUACUCUAUCAAUCAGCAAAAAGCUAUUCUACUGCACAAAUAAGACACAGCUAAAUAUUGGUAUCCUGACUAGAUGAAAAUGAUAAAGAAUACAGGAAGCUGAGACAAAGAGAAAAUGGCAUAGAAUCUUAAAUAUUCAGCUUGAUUCAAAGAAUGUAAUAAAGAACAUCUAAGACAACAGCAACCAAAUUACUUAACACAACAGUCUUCACAAGCUUCUGACCACAUAGGAUUCUAGAAAUGCCCUUAUAGAUUGAAUACCCAAAAAGGUAUUUUAAUUUCAAAGAUAAUACAAAUAUAUCAGCUGCCAAGAGUAAGAUUAUUAGAGGUUAAUCUUAUAUUCAAGUACUUCUUAUAUUAAGGCUGGUAAAUAUGCUAAUGCUCAUCAUAAUGUGGCAUCUUAUCCAUGAAAAAAUUGCUUUUAACAUUUACUUGUAGCUAGCAAGAAGUGAAAAAGCUAAUCAAAUUACAAGAAUAAUGAUAACCUGGAGAGCAGAUACAUUAGUUG
rnacentral:misc_RNA from 1 species